rnacentral:rRNA from 1 species
UGCGAGAAAGGAGACUUCGGUCUCUGAGUAGAGCGGCGCACGGGUGAGUAACGCGUGGAUGAUCUACCCUUGAGUACGGGAUAACGGUGCGAAAGCGCCGCUAAUACCGAAUAACAAUCCAUUUCACCAUGGGUUUAAGCAGGCCUCUGAAUGUAAGCUUGCGCUUGAGGAUGAGUCCGCGUCCCAUUAGCUUGUUGGCGGGGUAACGGCCCACCAAGGCUACGAUGGGUAGCUGGUCUGAGAGGAUGAUCAGCCACACUGGAACUGAAACACGGUCCAGACUCCUACGGGAGGCAGCAGUGGGGAAUAUUGCGCAAUGGGGGAAACCCUGACGCAGCGACGUCGUGUGAGGGAAGAAGGCUUUCGGGUCGUAAACCUCUGUCAGAAGGGAAGAAACGUCAGGAUUCGAAUAGGGUCCUGGCCUGACGGUACCUUCAAAGGAAGCGCCGGCUAACUCCGUGCCAGCAGCCGCGGUAAUACGGAGGGCGCGAGCGUUAAUCGGAAUCACUGGGCGUAAAGCGUGCGUAGGCGGUUUGAUAAGUCAGACGUGAAAUCCCUCGGCUCAACCGGGGAACUGCGUUUGAAACUGUUAGACUCGAGUCCUGGAGAGGGUGGCGGAAUUCCUGGUGUAGGAGUGAAAUCCGUAGAUAUCAGGAGGAACACCGGUGGCGAAGGCGGCCACCUGGACAGGUACUGACGCUGAGGCACGAAAGCGUGGGGAGCAAACAGGAUUAGAUACCCUGGUAGUCCACGCGGUAAACGAUGGAUGCUAGGUGUCGGGGAGCGAUCUUC